rnacentral:rRNA from 1 species
CCUACGGGAGGCAGCAGUAGGGAAUCUUCCACAAUGGGCGAAAGCCUGAUGGAGCAACGCCGCGUGGGUGAAGAAGGUCUUCGGAUCGUAAAACCCUGUUGUUAGAGAAGAAAGUGCGUGAGAGUAACUGUUCACGUUUCGACGGUAUCUAACCAGCAAGCCACGGCUAACUACGUGCCAGCAGCCGCGGUAAUACGUAGGUGGCAAGCGUUAUCCGGAUUUAUUGGGCGUAAAGGGAACGCAGGCGGUCUUUUAAGUCUGAUGUGAAAGCCUUCGGCUUAACCGGAGUAGUGCAUUGGAAACUGGGAGACGUGAGUGCAGAAGAGGAGAGUGGAACUCGAGGUGUAGCGGUGAAAUGCGUAGAUAUAUGGAAGAACACCAGUGGCGAAAGCGGCUCUCUGGUCUGUAACUGACGCUGAGGUUCGAAAGCGUGGGUAGCAAACAGGAUUAGAUACCCUAGUAGUC